UCCCUCCAUCAUCUUGACUCCUGAGAAGUCUCUCUGUCUUCUCAUCUGUAAAUGAAGACUACCGUAAAAUGCUUGCCUGACUCCACAGAGUUCUGCCUUCAAGAAUUCUGGAGUAACGGAAACCCCUAUGUCUAUCCCACAGUCUCCUCUAAAAGCCCUAGGAACAUCAAUCUUGGAUACCCACCCCCACUUACAUAAGAAAGCAGGAAAGAGCUUCUGCAUCAGGACU